CCUUAUCACGUUAAAAUACCGGUUCUCGUCCGAUCACUGAAGUUAAGCAACGUCGAACUUGGUCAGUAUGGAUGACCGCUUGGGAAUACCAGAUGUUGUAAG